UACGGGGGGGGUAAGCGUUGUUCGGAAUUACUGGGCGUAAAGGGCUCGUAGGCGGCCAACUAAGUCAUACGUGAAAUCCCUCAGCUUAACUGGGGAACUGCGUGUGAUACUGGAUGGCUUGGAUUUGGGAGAGGGAUGCGGAAUUCCAGGUGUAGCGGUGAAAUGCGUAGAUAUCUGGAGGAACACCGGUGGCGAAGGCGGCGAUCUGGGUAGAUACUGACGCUGAGGUGCGAAAGCGUGGGGAGCAAACAGG
rnacentral:rRNA from 1 species